AAUAUGUAACGGAGGUAGUAAAUGAAUGGAACCCUAAGCUAACACUUCACUAUGCUAAUUCCGCCUCCAACUUUCAAUCUCCAUCUCCUUCAUCUUCCUUUUCCUCUCCUUCUCUCUCCUCCCUUUCCUUUAAACGAAUUUCCUUCACCUUCAACUUUCCCAGAUCGUCAAAUUCAAGAUCUCAAAAGAGCGAUUAAGGCAAUACACACAGAAAAUACAGGGGAAAAAAACGUACGUUUUCUCUUAAUUGUGUUCUUGAAUCUAGUAUGCUCUGAAAUUCUCCAUUGAAGCGGCUUUUCAGCUUUCUCUCCUCCAUUGAAGCAGCUUCUAAGAUAUGCUAGUUUUCACACAAGAUCUUGAAACAAAGGAGAGAGGAAGAAAUUGGAGUACUUAAGAGACAUGUUUGACAUAAUUUUACGCAUAGAUUACAAGAUUUGAUGUAUUAUAAUUUUAGUGGAAUUUAAUUAAAGUUCGUUAAAUUUCUUUGUAUCAUUGUUAAACAUUAAUGUGGCAUUGUUAUUCUCUUUUA